AACGCCUGUCCCGACGCCUCCAAGCCCAUCAACAUCGGCGCAUAGUACUUCGGCAAUCCCAUCAAAAGUAGCGAAGCGAGCCACUCAUCAGCAACAGGGAAAUUUUUUUCAGCCAGCUUGUGGCUCGUUGAAACCAUGGCAUCCACGCACGUUUCUGUUCUCGAAAAAUUUUCCAGUCGGAUCGAAGUAAGCUGCUGCAAUAAAACAAUGCGACAAUAAAUUCCGUCAUCUUGAAAUGCGUUUUUCAGCUUUCCUCCUCUCCUGCGUUCUUCGCGUCCAUAACCAGGCUGUAAUUCGUCUUUUCCAGGGAUAGGCAGAUUGUGGACAGCGCCUUCAUGUCAAUCUCCUCCUCGACGACUUCGCCUUCCUUCGGUUCGACCGCGCACCAGGAACCCUCCCGGAUGAGCGUCAUUUUCAUUGCGAAUGUCCACGAAACGAAAUUUUCUCGGCCCUUCAGCUUCCCGAUCGUCAGAGCCACACUGCUUCCGCCGGUCGCACGAACCGCUCUCGCCGCACCGCUUCCAAUAUCUCCCGACCCGCUGCUUCCGCUACCAGAGUACAUUUUCGUUUCUUGAAGAGCUUCUUGAUUUUACUGCUUGAGGAUUUUCUAUCUCGAGAAUUUUCUACACUGAACCCAAAAUCACACUUAAAAUACACUUGACGUUUCACUUAAAAGUGGGAGUUCAGUGAAUUUCUUCAUUUCAAGUGGCUCAUGUAGAUUUCACUUACCCGUCACUUAUGUUUCAAGUGACCGAAUCAAUGUUCACUAACUCAUCACAUAAGUUUUAAGUGACUGUCACUUAAAAUUCCUCUGAAAAUCCACUUACUUCGCCGCUCACUCCAAUUUCAUUACAUUCUCACUUAAAAUUCACUUGACCCGUCACUUAAUUGUCAAAUUCACUUGACCGGUCACUUAAAAUUGAAAUGAAUGUACAGGUAGCGAAUGACAGCCAUGUUGUGAAAGAUUGUUUUUAUUAUGGAAACAUAACAGAAUUGUGUAUGAGCUGGUAGGUGCAGAAAAAGAGUCAUUUAUAAGUUUCAUAACAAUUAUAUACUUCCAGAGCCCGAGAAAAAUAUCCUGUGAGGCGGAUAAUACGUCGUAGUGCAACUAUUCAUCCGAAUGAGGGGCCAAAAUAUGAAUCGGCAGAAGUUGUAACUUCUACAGAGCAACUAUGAAUAAAUUGGCCAUGGUGGGAAAUCUUUGUUGGAUAUUUCGGAAAUGCUUCCCGAUGGUAUUUUUAUUCUGAAAUUUUCAAGAACAGUGCGAAUAAAAAAAAUAUCAGCCUAAAUUUUGGGAAAAAAUCGAAAAAGUAGAUGAGUAUUUCAAGCCAAAACUUUAAUUUGAACCCAUCAAUAAAUUUGUGA